AUGAUUGUUACUUUAUGGGCGAUUUGGAGUGCAAGACGGAAAGCUAUACAUGAGGAUAUAUACCAGACUCCGUUUGCCACUGACAACUUCAUCAAAGCUUACUUAUCAGACAUAGAGUUUUUGAAGAAGAAGAAGGAGGAAGCACAUGGGAUAGCAGUACCACGACCCCGUACGUGGAUUCCACCACCAACAGAUUAAUACAAACUCAAUGUGGACGCGGCCGUGUCACGCCCAGGUACGUUUGGCGCAGUUGGUGUUGUUUGAAGGGAUGAGAGAGGUUUGUUCAUGGGAGCAUCAGCUCUCGUUUUCGGAGGACUGCACAACCCCCAAGUGCUAGAAGCACUAGCUGUUCGGGAGGCAUUAGCACUUUCAGAAGAUCUCUAUAUCAACCAUUUACUUGUUGCCUCCGAUUGCAAGGUGGUGGUAGAUGCAAUCAGACAGGGAAGCUCAGCAGAAUUUGGAGCCAUUGUCGAGGAAAUCAAGACUAGAGCAACUACCUUUAUUUCAUGUUCGUUUACUCAUGAGUAUAGGACCUCCAAUACGGAGGCCCAUAAUCUCGCAAAGCAUGCGUUAUCUUUAGGGUUUGGCCGACACACUUGGCUAGGACAACCCGGCGAUCUUCUUUUUGUACCUAUGAACAUUAUGAUUCAGUACUAA
rnacentral:rRNA from 1 species